UUGGAAGUAAAAAGUCGUAACAAGGUUCCGUAGGUGAACCUGCGGAAGGAUCAUUGUUGAU
rnacentral:rRNA from 1 species